rnacentral:rRNA from 1 species
UACGUAGGGUGCAAGCGUUGUCCGGAAUUAUUGGGCGUAAAGAGCUCGUAGGCGGUUUGUCGCGUCUGCUGUGAAAACUCGGGGCUUAACCCCGGGCCUGCAGUGGGUACGGGCAGACUAGAGUGCGGUAGGGGAGACUGGAAUUCCUGGUGUAGCGGUGAAAUGCGCAGAUAUCAGGAGGAACACCGGUGGCGAAGGCGGGUCUCUGGGCCGUAGCUGACGCUGAGGAGCGAAAGCGUGGGGAGCGAACAGG